AAAGGUGUUAAAGGCGACUAAUCUUUGGAGCACCAAUAUUAUUAGUUGUCUUUUUAUCUUUUUUUCAGAAUAAAGACACUUACACAAUUACUCUUCUUAUAAUUUAUUUCCUGCAUUCUUAUAAUAUUUUUGCCUACACUGCCAAAUAAUUUUCUGAUAUCAUGAAUGUGUGUAGUCUAUUAUACUGUUCAUAGUCUACGAUUAUUCGGUCCAUUGGGUCCUCUUAUAAUUGACGUCGACCGUAACACAAGUUACACGCAUGCGUAUAUAUACGCACAAAACGUGUUUCCUCUCUUUAGCCGGAAUUAGAAGCACUCACAAUUCACGACAUCUCUUUCUCGCUUUCAUUAUUUCCGUGCUUUGAUUCUGUCUGUCAGACUUUGAGUGUUGCGAGAAACGUGGACGGUGCGACAAUGAUUUUCGUUCAUAGCAUGAAGGUCCCCGAUUUCACUAGUAAAGACAAAUUGCUAGUGGUGGAUAUCUAUCAUUUCUCAAAGGUUAUGGAUUGUAUAAGUUUUCCAUCUUUCCAUCAACAGUAUUAAAAAAUCUAAACAGAAUGAUGAUUUUGUCUUUGAAGUGCAUUAACAUUAUGAUGUAUGACAACGAUUGAAUAGGGUAAAUGAUGUUAAAUUUGCAUAUAUAAUGUAUUGUUUCAAAGCUCUCAGUGAGAGGAAAAAAUGUCAUACUCUUUUAUUUCGUUUUUUACCACCUCAAAAGAUGUUUGAAUUUUUUAUUUUAAAAAAAUUAUCAAAUUUUUAUCUCUUUUGGGAAGUCAAUC
rnacentral:lncRNA from 1 species